rnacentral:rRNA from 1 species
AACGAACGCUGGCGGCGCGCCUAACACAUGCAAGUCGAACGAGAAUCCGGGGCAACCCGGUAGUAAAGUGGCAAACGGGUGAGGAAUACAUGGGUAACCUACCCUUGAGAAGGGAAUAACCCGCCGAAAGGUGAGCUAAAUACCCUAUACGCUAUCUUUUUUUUCGAAAAGGAUAGGAAAGCCGGGUCGAGGACCUGGGUACUCAAGGAGGGGCUCAUGUCCUAUCAGCUUGUUGGUGGGGUAACGGCCUACCAAGGCUACGACGGGUAGCUGGUCUGAGAGGAUGAUCAGCCACACUGGCACUGAGAUACGGGCCAGACUCCUACGGGAGGCAGCAGUGAGGAAUAUUGCGCAAUGGGCGAAAGCCUGACGCAGCGACGCCGCGU